UACGGAGGGUGCAAGCGUUAUCCGGAAUCACUGGGUUUAAAGGGUGCGUAGGCGGCUUAGUAAGUCAGUGGUGAAAGGCUGUGGCUUAACCAUGGGAUUGCCAUUGAUACUGCUGAGCUUGAAUCAGGUUGAGGUUGGCGGAAUGUGACAUGUAGCGGUGAAAUGCUUAGAUAUGUCAUGGAACACCGAUUGCGAAGGCAGCUGACUGGACCUGUAUUGACGCUGAGGAACGAAAGCGUGGGGAGCGAACAGG
rnacentral:rRNA from 1 species